rnacentral:rRNA from 1 species
UGGGGAAUAUUGGACAAUGGGGGCAACCCUGAUCCAGCCAUGCCGCGUGUGUGAAGAAGGCCUUCGGGUUGUAAAGCACUUUUGUUCGGGAAGAAAAGCCAUGGGUUAAUACCCUGUGGUUCUGACGGUACCGAAAGAAUAAGCACCGGCUAACUUCGUGCCAGCAGCCGCGGUAAUACGAAGGGUGCAAGCGUUACUCGGAAUUACUGGGCGUAAAGCGUGCGUAGGUGGUGAGUUAAGUCUGUCGUGAAAGCCCCGGGCUCAACCUGGGAAUGGCGAUGGAUACUGGCUCGCUAGAGUGCGGUAGAGGAGAGUGGAAUUCCCGGUGUAGCAGUGAAAUGCGUAGAGAUCGGGAGGAACAUCAGUUGCGAAGGCGGCUCUCUGGACCAGCACUGACACUGAGGCACGAAAGCGUGGGGAGCAAACAGG